rnacentral:lncRNA from 1 species
AUAUAGAGGCACAUGGUUACAUCGAUCAAAGAAUGAAUACAUAGAAGGCAUACCGGUCUAUGAUGGUCCGGAUGGAGUUUACAGAAUAGAGUAUAGUGGGCACAAAGUAUAGAAUAAAAGCCAAAAAAAUUAAAGUGGAAAGAAAAAUAGAACAAAAACCAAGUGAAAAAUAGAGAAUAAUGGGGUACUCAAAAACAAAGAACAGAGAAUGAUCAACAAAUAUGUAAACAAUAGAAAAAUGGCCUGAAUAUUAAAGAAUAAAUUAGAAGUUAACGACCCCAAUCCGGACCCUCAUGAUCAUAUAUAAAGAGAAGAGCGAUCGAAUCAUUCAAUUAUUCAGAGGUACAUGUCAUGUUUCCAUAUUUGUUUGAAUAUAUGUUGCACAUAUUUUCAAUUGUGCUUGACUUAUAUAGCUAGCUCAAGAUAAUUGAUUUCUAGAAUGAACCUUCAUUUUUCUCUUUUGAUAACCAGCUUGUUCGUGUUGGUGAGGACGGAUGGAAAUGAAAUAAAAGAAACAAAUUUCGCUAUUGAAAGCAGCAAACGGAUCGUAAAUAGUUCAUACACUACAGAUAAGUUUGUUCAAACGAAAGGAAUGUGUGCAAUGAUGUGCACUUUCGAUGAGAAAUGCUGUGCGGCUUGUUAUAAUGACGCAACUUCUACUUGUCGUCUUGAUACGUCUGAGCAGUGUUGUGUUGAUACCGAGGUUGUUGACGGAUGGGAAGUUUUGAAAAAAG